CAUUGGCUUAGGGAUAGCAAUGGAAAUCCUUUUUUUGGGAGGGAAGUGAAGGGGAAAAAGAUUGAAAUGGAAGCGAAGCGAUAGCCCGACCCGAA
rnacentral:sRNA from 1 species